GACGAACGCUGGCGGCGUGCCUAAUACAUGCAAGUCGAGCGCUGAAGGUUGGUACUUGUACCGACUGGAUGAGCAGCGAACGGGUGAGUAACGCGUGGGGAAUCUGCCUAUGAGCGGGGGACAACAUUGGGAAACGAAUGCUAAUACCGCAUAAAAACUUUAAACACAAGGUUUAAGUGUGAAAGAUGCAAUUGCAUCACUCAAAGAUGAUCCCGCGUUGUAUUAGCUAGUUGGUGAGGUAAAGGCUCACCAAGGCGAUGAUACAUAGCCGACCUGAGAGGGGGGUCGGCCCCAUUGGGACUGUGACCCGGCCCCACCUCCUACGGGAGGCAGCAGUAGGGGAUCUUCGGCCAUAGACGAAAGUCUGACCGGGCCACGCCGCGUGGGUGAAGGAGGUUUUCGGAUCGUAAAACUCUGUUUGUUGGGAAGAACGUUGGUGGGAGUGGACAGCUCAUCAAUUGACGGUAACUACCCAGAAAGGGACGGCUAACUACGUG
rnacentral:rRNA from 1 species